rnacentral:rRNA from 1 species
GACGAACGCUGGCGGCGUGCUUAACACAUGCAAGUCGAACGGAAAGGCCCUGCUUUUGUGGGGUGCUCGAGUGGCGAACGGGUGAGUAACACGUGAGUAACCUGCCCUUGACUUUGGGAUAACUUCAGGAAACUGGGGCUAAUACCGGAUAGGAGCUCCUGCUGCAUGGUGGGGGUUGGAAAGUUUCGGCGGUUGGGGAUGGACUCGCGGCUUAUCAGCUUGUUGGUGGGGUAGUGGCUUACCAAGGCUUUGACGGGUAGCCGGCCUGAGAGGGUGACCGGGGACCAUAGGCCUGAGAUACGGCGCAGUCGGCUACGGGAGGCAGCGGGGGGGAGUAUUGCGCAAUGGGCGGGAGCGUGAGACGGAGGCGCCGCGUGCGGGAUGACGGCCUUCGGGUUGUAAACCGCUUUCGCCUGUGACGAAGCGUGAGUGACGGUAAUGGGUAAAGAAGCACCGGCUAACUACGUG